UGGGGAAUUUUGGACAAUGGGCGAAAGCCUGAUCCAGCAAUGCCGCGUGCAGGAAGAAGGCCUUCGGGUUGUAAACUGCUUUUGUACGGAACGAAAAGGCUCUUUCUAAUAAAGAGGGCCCAUGACGGUACCGUAAGAAUAAGCACCGGCUAACUACGUGCCAGCAGCCGCGGUAAUACGUAGGGUGCGAGCGUUAAUCGGAAUUACUGGGCGUAAAGCGUGCGCAGGCGGUUCUAUAAGACAGAUGUGAAUCCCCGGGCUCAACCUGGGAACUGCAUUUGUGACUGUAUAGCUAGAGUACGGUAGAGGGGGAUGGAAUUCCGCGUGUAGCAGUGAAAUGCGUAGAUAUGCGGAGGAACACCGAUGGCGAAGGCAAUCCCCUGGACCUGUACUGACGCUCAUGCACGAAAGCGUGGGGAGCAAACAGGAUUAGAUACCCCCGUAGUCCCUGAGCGGGCUGGCAAGGCGCAU
rnacentral:rRNA from 1 species